rnacentral:rRNA from 1 species
UACGUAGGAUGCAAGCGUUGUCCGGAAUUAUUGGGCGUAAAGCGCGUGUAGGCGGCCACACAGGUCCGCUGUGAAAACUCGAGGCUCAACCUCGAGCUGUCGGUGGAAACCGUGUGGCUAGAGUCCGGAAGAGGAGACUGGAAUCCCCGGUGUAGCGGUGGAAUGCGCAGAUAUCGGGAGGAACACCCGUGGCGAAGGCGGGUCUCUGGGACGGUACUGACGCUGAGACGCGAAAGCGUGGGGAGCGAACAGG